rnacentral:rRNA from 1 species
GACGAACGCUGGCGGCGUGCUUAACACAUGCAAGUCGAACGGAAAGGCCCUGCUCUUGUUGUGUGCUCGAGUGGCGAACGCGUGAGUAACACGUGUGUAACCUGCGCUUGACUGUGGGAUAACUUCAUGAAACUCGGGCUCAUAUCCGAUAUGAGCUCCUGCUGCAUGGUGGGUGUUGGAAAAAGUCGGCGUUUGGGGAUGAACUCGCGGCCUAUCAGCUUGUUGGUGGGGUAGUGGCUUACCAAGGCUUUGACGGGUAGCCGGCCUGCGAGGGUGACCGGCCACAUUGGGACUGAGAUACGGCCCAGACUGCUACGGGAGGCAGCAGUGGGGAAUAUUGCACAAUGGGCGGAAGCCGGAUGCAGCAACGCCGCGUGCGGGAUGACGGCCUUCGGGUUGUAAACCGCUUUCGCCUGUGACGAAGCGUGAGUGACGGUAAUGGGUAAAGAAGCACCGGCUAACUACGUG